AUCUGGCUGGCUCAGUCGGUUAAGCAUCUGACUUCAGCUCGGGUCGUGAUCUCGUGGUUCGUAGGUUCAAGUCCUGCGUCAGGCU
rnacentral:tRNA from 1 species